AGAGUUUGAUCCUGGCUCAGGACGAACGCUGGCGGCACGCUUAACACAUGCAAGUCGAACGGUGAAGAGAAGCUUGCUUCUCGGAACAGUGGCGGACGGGUGAGUAACACGUGAGCAACCUGCCUUUAAGAGGGGGAUAACGUUUGGAAACGAACGCUAAUACCGCAUAACAUAGAAGAUCCGCAUGUUUCUUCUAUCAAAGAUUUAUCGCUUAAAGAUGGGCUCGCGUCUGAUUAGCUUGUUGGUGAGGUAACGGCUCACCAAGGCGACGAUCAGUAGCCGUACUGAGAGGUAGAACGGCCACAUUGGGACUGAGACACGGCCCAGACUCCUACGGGAGGCAGCAGUGGGGAAUAUUGCACAAUGGAGGAAACUCUGAUGCAGCGAUGCCGCGUGAGGGAAGAAGGUUUUCGGAUUGUAAACCUCUGUCUUCAGGGACGAUAAUGACGGUACCUGAGGAGGAAGCUCCGGCUAACUACGUGCCAGCAGCCGCGGUAAUACGUAGGGAGCGAGCGUUGUCCGGAAUUACUGGGUGUAAAGGGAGCGUAGGCGGGAUCUUAAGUCAGGUGUGAAAACUAUGGGCUCAACCCAUAGACUGCACUUGAAACUGAGGUUCUUGAGUGAAGUAGAGGCAGGCGGAAUUCCUAGUGUAGCGGUGAAAUGCGUAGAUAUUAGGAGGAACAUCAGUGGCGAAGGCGGCCUGCUGGGCUUUUACUGACGCUGAGGCUCGAAAGCGUGGGGAGCAAACAGGAUUAGAUACCCUGGUAGUCCACGCUGUAAACGAUGAUUACUAGGUGUGGGGGGACUGACCCCUUCCGUGCCGCAGUUAACACAAUAAGUAAUCCACCUGGGGAGUACGACCGCAAGGUUGAAACUCAAAGGAAUUGACGGGGGCCCGCACAAGCAGUGGAGUAUGUGGUUUAAUUCGAAGCAACGCGAAGAACCUUACCAGGUCUUGACAUCCGAUGCAUAGCACAGAGAUGUGUGAAAUCCUUCGGGACAUCGAGACAGGUGGUGCAUGGUUGUCGUCAGCUCGUGUCGUGAGAUGUUGGGUUAAGUCCCGCAACGAGCGCAACCCUU
rnacentral:rRNA from 1 species